rnacentral:rRNA from 1 species
CCUACGGGAGGCAGCAGUGAGGAAUAUUGGUCAAUGGACGAAAGUCUGAACCAGCCAAGUAGCGUGAAGGAUGACGGCCCUAUGGGUUGUCAACUUCUUUUAUAUGGGAAUAAAAUGUUCCACGUGUGGGAUUUUGUAUGUACCAUAUUAAUAAGGAUCGGCUAACUCCGUGCCAGCAGCCGCGGUAAUACGGAGGGUCCGAGCGUUAUCCGGAGUUAUUGGGUUUAAAGGGAGCGUAGGUGGAUUGUUAAGUCAGUUGUGAAAGUGUGCGGCUCAACCGUAAAAUUGCAGUUGAAACUGGCAGCCUUGAGUACAGUAGAGGUGGGCGGAAUUCGUGGUGUAGCGGUGAAAUGCGUAGAUAUCACGAAGAACUCCGAUUGCGAAGGCAGCUCACUGGACUGUAACUGACACUGAGGCUCGAAAGUGUGGGUAUCAAACAGGAUUAGAUACCCUUGUAGUC